rnacentral:ribozyme from 14 species
AGAAUGAAUGAAUGAAUGAAUUGAUGAAUUAAUUGCCUCCUCCUUUGGACUAUUCGCAGCUUUCUGCUCUAUUCGACUCUUUAAUUUUUAAUUUUUUUUUUUUUUUAAGUUUGUUCUUA